CCUACGGGGGGCAGCAGUGGGGAAUAUUGGACAAUGGGGGCAACCCUGAUCCAGCCAUGCCGCGUGUGUGAAGAAGGCCCUCGGGUUGUAAAGCACUUUCAGUGAGGAAGAACGCCUGGUGGUUAAUACCCAUCAGGAAAGACAUCACUCACAGAAGAAGCACCGGCUAACUCCGUGCCAGCAGCCGCGGUAAUACGGAGGGUGCGAGCGUUAAUCGGAAUUACUGGGCGUAAAGCGCGUGUAGGUGGCUUGAUAAGCCGGUUGUGAAAGCCCCGGGCUCAACCUGGGAACGGCAUCCGGAACUGUCAAGCUAGAGUGCAGGAGAGGAAGGUAGAAUUCCCGGUGUAGCGGUGAAAUGCGUAGAGAUCGGGAGGAAUACCAGUGGCGAAGGCGGCCUUCUGGACUGACACUGACACUGAGGUGCGAAAGCGUGGGUAGCAAACAGGAUUAGAUACCCUGGUAGUC
rnacentral:rRNA from 1 species